rnacentral:SRP_RNA from 1 species
GCCGGGCGUGGUGGCGAGCGCCUGUAAUCCCAGCUACUGGGGAGGCUGAGGCGGGAGAAUUGCUUGAACCCGGGAGGCGGAGGUUGCAAUGAGUCAAGAUCGCACUACUGCACUCCAGCCUGGGUGACAGAGUGAGACCCUGUCUCAA